UUCUCCUGCCAUGGAAAGAACCAUUGAAUGUUACACAUUAAACAAGUCUAAUAUCAUUAGAAUUACUUUCCUAAUUAGAUGACAGGUGAUUGAUUCCUUGUUUUGUGUGUGUGUGUGUGUUUAAAUUCGUGUAUUAGAAAACAAAAAAGGAAAUGAAAAAAGAGGAGCCUUACUUGCAGUCAUGCCACAAGUUAUUUCCAUUUUCUGGGGCUUUGGCAGUUUUUAUCGAAUAUAUUUCUUAUUGUUCCCUGAGUAAUCCCUCAUCUCAUCCCUUUAUUCUUGUUUCCUGUGACUCCUAUCCAUAGUUGAACCACCAGAACUAUCUUAAUUUUCUUAUCUAAUCUCAUUUUUCAUAUCUGACUUUUUAUCCUAAUUUAUGUGAGGUGUCUGUCCUUGGUCUUCUGAACACUCUUAAUUUUUUGAAAAAAUUCUGCUAUUAUAAGUACAUGUUUCCAAAAGUACUUGUUCUCUGGUACUCUUUUUUUAAAACAGCAUCCUGUUCUUGUUUCAUAGAUGAAAUUUCUCAUAUCUCUCAGGAUAUUGAUUAGAAGUUUACUUCUGUUAGUAUUUUCUGUAUAUCUUCCAAGUUCUUUUUUUUUUUUUCCUGUUUUGGUUCCCAGUUAGUGUGUGUGUGUGUAGUAAAUAUAUAUAUGUAUGCGUUUACUUACUGCCCUUAUUUUAGUACAAGUGUUUUAAAAUGAGAAUAUUUCCUGCAUAAUAUAAAAUCUAAUACCCAGUCCAUAUUUAAAUUUCUCCAUUUGUUAAAAAAAAGUCCUUUAUAGCUAGUUUCUUCAGAUAAGGAUCUAUAUAUAAAAAUUGGCCAUUGUCUCCUAGGUUUCUUAUAGUCUAGAAUAAAUCAUUUUUCAUUACAUUGACUUUUGACAGGCUGGACCAGAUGUCCUACCCUUUUGGAAUUGUCUAGUUAUUUAUUUGUAGUAUGACAUUUCUUUAUUCCUGUAUGUACAUCAAACUUGAAGUUAGAUCUAAAGUGUCAGUCAAUUUAAGUGAAACAUUUUAUAUCUUAGGUAAUGUAUACUUCAUGUUGCAUCUUAUUAGAUGUUUUUAAAGCUUUAUAUAUAUAUAAGUUGAAUCUUGUUGACUUUCUCAAAAUCCUGAGGAAUCUGCAGUGCAUCAACAUCUCCACAGUAGGUACCAUAAAUGGUUAACAGUUUCUGUAAGGCAACUUUGCACUAGCCUAUUUUGAGCAUAGAACACAACUUUGAAGAUUAAAUCCCAUCCAGGGACUGAUUGGUAGAAGACAACUAGUCAGGGAACAUAGGAGGGAAAUACUUAAUUGCCAUAAAGUGGGUAGAUACCAGUCCACAAAUAAUUCUGAAUUAACUACGAAUAUGCUGUUUCAUGUUUGUAGACUCAUAGAUGUUUUGUGUUAUUAGUGGCUGUUCUGGAUUAUAAACUCCCAUGAGAGGUUAUUUUAAAAUCAGAAUUUUUCAUUUUUAAUAUUUAUCACUACUGCUUAUAUCCUCACUUUAACCUACCUAAUGCUGUUUCACUCAAAUGUCUUUUCUUUCUUCCCUGUAACAGUUGUGCAGAAGAUUCUGACCUUAUUUGAGGCUUACAUAUAGGUUUGGAGAUGUGGAAAGGAGUGGAAAAAGAAAUAUGUAAGCUGAAGUGCCAAACUCACACUGAAAUAAAGGGCAUGGCCCACCAGCUGACAAGGAGUGUCUGGUUUCAAGAUGGCAAAUGACCCUAAACAUGAUAGACAAAUAUGUUUUACAUAGGUACAUGCACAGAUAGGCACAUAUAAAUCCACAUUUGCAAGCAAAAAGUGGAACCUGUAAAGCAGAAUUUCUGAGGAAUCUCUAAAAGACUAAUACUGUAUGGAAUUUGAAGAGGAAACCCAGAGCAGAAGCACAUAGUGAAGUACUGCCACAAAGAUGUGUGACGCCACUAAAGGUGCUGUAGACCCACAAGAAAGGAAAACUGGGAGCAGGACAACUAUCUGGAUAUUGACUGCACAUGCCAAUAUCUCAGUCAGACUAACAGAAUCAGAGCUUUAGGCAGAGAAAUGAAUGGUUGGAGAGAGAAGGCAAUGCCCAGGUGCCCUGCUUUGAAAUGUCCCGCCCAUCCCCAAAUUAGUCUGAAAAUUUCAAAUGUAGUAUAAAUUCCCUUCCCAUCAAAAGUGUCCCAUAAACAGCAGUGGUAGAAGAGUUUUAACUGAGUAUCACAGCUUCAAUGAUGAGUAUAGAAAACUCCAAAAAUCUGAAUACCAACACAAUCAAAAAAGAGGUACAAACCACAAGUGGAAGAACCAUCUCAAGAAAUAAUGAAGCAUUCAUGGAAUACAGAUUAGCAACUCUUUAAAACAGUAUUGCCAAGAGAAACAGGUAAGAGGCCCUCUGGAGAAAUGUCAGAAAUAGAAAAUGUAAAUUUUCAAAUGUUAAAAUCAUCACUAGGCUAAGAAACAGAAUGGACACAGCUGAAAAUCAAAAUCAGGGUCUGGAAGAGGAAUUCCAUAACUUGAUGGAACAGAGUGAUAGAAAAUAUGGAGGGAAAAAGACCGCAGUGGGGUAACAAGAUGAGACUAGAAAGAAUGAAAAGGAGGGAAUAGUUGAAGAAGUGAUAGCUGAAGUGUUUUCCAGAAUCAAUAUUAAACCCUAAGAUUUCAACGAUGCACUUGCAUGUCAAACAGCAAAUGAAAAAAUCAUAAAUGCAUCACAGAUGAUGAUACCCUGAAAGUUAUUAAUACAAGAAAACAGCAUGGCAGGAGUAAUCUAAACGUACUAAAAUGGUAACUAGAAUUGUGAGAGGUGGAUUUUAAAAUGUAUGUGUGUGUGAAAACGUGUGUAGGUGUUAAAAGUGUCCAUUCUUUUAAUAACAUUUUGCUGUAGCAUUUAAGCAAAUCGUAGACAAUUAACGUUUCUCUUAUUUUCUACAAGCAAUUCCCCACUCUUCUGAAAACAUCAAAUUUUGUGAAGGAAUCUUAACUUUCACAAAAGUUGAUUUUUUUUUUUUGAGACGGAGUCUCGCUCUGUCUCCCAGGCUGGAGUGCAGUGGCGCGAUCUCGGCUCACUGCAAACUCCGCCUCCCGGGUUCACGCCAUUCUCCUGCCUCAGCCUCCCGAGUAGCUGGGACUACAGGUGGCUGCCACCACGCCCGGCUAUUUUUUUUUUUUUGUAUUUUUAGUAGAGACGGGGUUUCACCGUGUUAUCCAGGAUGGUCUCGAUCUCCUCACCUCGUGAUCCGCCCGCCUCGGCCUCCCAAAGUGCUGGGAUUACAGGCGUGAGCCACCGCGCCCGGCCAAAAGUUGAUUUUUAAAUUAAAUUUUAUUCAAAUGUUUUCUUCACAUUUAUUUUCCUUCUAAUUCGUUACUGUCUUGUAAGGUUUUCAUGGACCCUUGAAACAGUAGGAAAUGUAUGACAAUUCUACACAUCCUCUUCACCUGUUCUAUUGAUAAACCUCCCAGCCUUUCAGUUCUUGCUCUCCCAAUCCUCUCCUAGAGUUCAUCCUAAGAUCACACUUUCAUAGCAUUUCUCAUAUAUCCUGUCUUUACUUCCUUCCCUUUUAUUCAUCCAACAACUUUACAGGGAACCAAUUACAUGGCAAGCAUUAUUCUAAACCCUAGGUAAGCAAAACUAGGAUUUGUAGCAGCCCUUGUCGUUUACAGGUGUUAAGGAAUGCAAUUGUAAUGUGAUAGGAAAAUAUUCAUUUCAGUUGUGAAACUACAUGAUGUUGCUGAGAAUGUAUAAGAGUGCUAGUAAGAGCUCUAGGAAAGGCUUCCCCAGAUGAAGUGACAGACUCCAAAUAUGAACAGAAAUAGCUGAUAGCUAGGGGAAGGAGGAGAAUAGCAUGUACAAUGGCCCAAGGGAACAGGACAAAUUUGGGAACUGAACAGCUAUGUAGUGUAGAGUAAGGAAGCAUGGUGAGAAAGAAUCAUGAGGGAGAAGCCAGCCUAUGUAGAUAGGGCUUUAAGGUGUUAAGAAUAUUCCUUCUCGAAUGAUUUAAAGGGAUGGGGUGGGGAGCAGGUGUGACAUUAGAUUUGCAUUUUGAGGAGGUCACUGCCUACAGUGAUUAAAGGGAAAAAUGGAUUAAAAGUCUAUUUCAGCAGUAUAGAUAAGAGAUCAUGUUGGACUGUGAGAGCAGUCGAAGGCACAAAAGGAACUCAAACACAUAAGAUCAUAUUGACAACUUGGCAAUUGGUUUAGACCAAGUUGGAGGAAGUGUGGGUGACAAAGACUGAGCUCUAUGUUUCUGGCUUGCUCGUGUGGGUUAUGGUGCUAUUGUUCCUCCUCUUCCAUCUAUCUGAGACCUAAUUUCAGAAUUACAGAAAACUUGAAAUAGAACAAAAAAUUUCUGUAUACCCUUUUCUGAAAUCCCCCAAAUGUUAACAUCGUAUCACAUUUGCUUUACCUCCUUCUUUCAGACCACAAAUUUAGUUGCUGACAUGAUGCCCCUUUAGCCCUAAAUACAUCAAUGUGUAUUUCUCAAAACAAAGGACAUUCUCUUAUGUAGCCAUGCAGUUCAGUACCAUUAGCUAAUCUAUAGACCUUAUUCAGAUUUCACUAAUAUCUCUAUGUUAUUUACAGAUAAUUUCAACUAUUCAUUGCAGAUAGCAUUGCAGUUGUCAGAUCUCAUUAAGGUCUUAUAUCUGAAACAGUUCCACUGUCUUCCAUAACUUUCAUAACUUUGAAUAUUUUGGUAAGUAUAAACCCUUAAAUUGGUUUUGUCUGGUAUUCCUCAUGAUUAAACUAGUCAUCCAUUCACUUUUCAA